GUUCCUCCUGGAACUAGAUUCUGGUAUCCAGGUGUUGCCAGGACAAUCUGCUUUUUCUUCAUAAAUGAGACUUGCUAGUGCUUUAGAGGUUCCCUCUCUUUUAAUUCUCUGUUCAUCCAAAAUCAAGUGUUUAAACUUUUAGGAAAACAGAACCUUAAGAUUUGUGCAUGGAAAUUGGGAUGUUAGUCAACUUACAGUUAGCUUAAGCCUUGGUUCUUACAUAAUUUGAAUUUGAAAGGGCACCCUGUGUAACUUUCCUCCCCUCCCUCCCUCACCUCACUUCUGGAAGAGAGCUCAGUGCCCAUGCUGACAGGACUGUCUUCCCUCGGUGGGAAGAAGAGGGCAUCUUGCCAUUUCCUAAUAAUAUUUCAAGGAACUUUUGUGCACGUGUUGAAUGUAAAACUUCACACUAUUAUGGAACAUUAACUGUGAAUAUAUUGACCUGUGCUGUCCCCGGUACCAUACAGUUAAAGGACCAGCUUUUCCAUGUCUUGGAAAA
rnacentral:lncRNA from 1 species